AAGUCGUAACAAGGUUUCCGUAGGUGAACCUGCGGAAGGAUCAUUACCAAAAAACACACAAGUGUAGUGGAUUUGGUGGGAUGCAGCUUAGUAUAUGUGUAUGCAGAAAUGCAUGCGCACAUCUAGGACGGCGCCCAUUUAUUGUUAGGUGUAGUAGUCUCAUCCUCUAGUUUCUAUAUGUACACACUAGUGUACAUGGGGCUAGUAGGGUGUUACUACACCUAAUAACUAGAACCAUACUAGUUUAUUUCAAUACAAAUUGAUAUACAACUUUUAACAAUGGAUCUCUAGGCUCUU
rnacentral:misc_RNA from 1 species